CAAAGGCAGAGGCGGCAGGAGUGGGAGCAGCCUUCAGAGGUGCGGAGACGGGCAGAGGCCACCGAGGAGCACCACCUCCCAGGGCUGGACCACGUGCUGGGCCACGCGUUGACCUCUCUCCAAGCAGCUCCUGUCUCGCUGCCCUGAGCCCUGGGGUGUGGUUCAGGAAAGGCCACCUGCGCCUCUCCCCAUAGGCAGGGCCACCCAGGCCUGCAGUGGUGGCAACUCCAUCCCAGUCGGAAGCCUGAGGAAAGAGACAGAAAUGGAGACAGAAAGGCGGGCCUCCAAAGAUGUGCAAGCUUGUAGGACCUGAUUUUCCUCUCCUCAAACUAAAGGAGACCAGGCUGUCAGGCUCUGAGCCAAAGCUCAGCCAUUAUAACCUCUGUGACCUGCACAUACAUACACAUCCAGGUGGCCUGCAGGAGCCAAGAAAUGGGGAGCAGUCAAAAAACCACAAAGAAGGAAAACAGCCAGUUCCUGGCUUAACUGAUUAACCAACAUUACAACAUUUUACUAUUGUGACUUGUCGCUGCCCUACCUUAGCUGGCCAAUCGACUUUGUGACAUUCUUCUUCUGGACAAUGAAUCUUAUGAUCUCUCCACCAUGUACGUUGUAACCCCCUCCUCUGCUAACAAUAACCACAUUUUACUGUAAUUUUCCAUUACCUACCCAACUCCCUUCCCCAUUUCCCUUUGCUGACUCUCUUUUCGGACUCAGCCCACUUGCACCCAAGUGAAUAAACAGCUUUAUUGCUCACACAAAUCCUGUUGGUGGUCUCUUCACACGGACGUGCUUGACACAGGCAAAGGAGAAGGAGGAAGGGAAGGGGGAGCAGCUCUGGAACAAGAGAGGAGGGUUCUGCAGAGGCAGGCGGGAGUUCUUGGGGUGAAGCAUUUAUUCAUGGGAGGAGAGGCUCACAGGAUAUGACCUCAGUAAGCAUCCAGUCCUUGUCACAUAGUCUUAGGCACGGCCUACUGCCUGACAAUCCCAGACACAUUGGAACAGAGGGGCAGGGCCCUGGGAAGGGGCUUGAAGGGAAACUUCCCUACCUCCCUUUCCUGCACACCUGGCCCUGGCUGGAAUAGAAAAGCAUCAUUUGGGAAUAGAGAGCAGCUGUGGAUCCAUCACGGCUAUCCCGCACACCAUCAACACCACUGACACCUUCACCAACAUUUCUAAUUCUGCCUUAACCUCUCCACUGGGCUGCAGACUUACAUCCAGUUGUCUCUAGGACAUGUUCACUGACUUGUCCAACAGACACUGGCACUCACCAGCCUCAGGGGAAAGGCACUACCUUCCACCCACAGUCCAACCCCCAGAUCAGGGAAUCGCAAUUCCUCCUUUCUCUACAUCCUCCACCUGCAGGUCUUCAGGGUGCGACUCUGGGCAGGUCGUACUCUCCCUCCACUUAGGAUUUCUCAUCUGGAGAAUGGGAUAAUGCCAGCCCCAGCUUCCAGACUGUUGUAAGGAUUCAAUAGGACGGAUCAUGUAAUGCCCUUAGCCCAGGGGUUUGUGCAGGCAGCAGUCAAUAUGUCUUCAUCAUUGUUCUUGUUGGCUGGGCCAAGAGACCCUGCUUGAUAGGAGAAUCAAGUUCUGCAGUGAAGUUGGUGGUCUGGAAGCCGGACUCUAGCAAGGGGUAUUUUGGCCUGGGUGUAGGCAGUCCCCACUCUCCACUUAUUAGUCGCUCUCUGGCCUGUGGUCAGAAGCCUCCAAGGGACUGUCCCAUGUGCAGUGUUGUCAGCAGUGGCCAUGCAAAUGGUGCCCGUGGGGCUGGCAGCACUACCCUGUCCCCAGCUGCCCGCAGUUGGUGACCUCUUCUUCCUAACACUUUGCUUUUGGUUUACCUCCUCAGCAUGGGCCUGCAUUUCCACUGCGUAAUAGAACUAAGCUGUGGGAGCCAGUGUGGGCGGCAAGGGGACUUGGUGGCAUUUGAGAAGCAUUGGACAGCAGACACUCCUUGGUCAGCCCUCCCCUCUGAAAAGCAGAACUCUGUGCUGCAGCCCAGACACUGGAGAGCACCAGCCUGUCUCCUCCACCCUCCAGCGAGAUGCGGGAGAAAUAUUCUCUCUCAUUCUUUCUCCUGAGUUGUGCCUACUUCCAUUUUAAAUUCCGCCAAAUGAUCCCUUAAUCUAAUAGCAAUUGCUAACAGCCUGGCCCUGAGAAGUCCUCUCUGCAUUUCAAUUCCUGCAUUAUCCCCUUCUUGCUGGCUUAGUAGAGCCUCUAUUCCUUGAUGCUUUCUAAGGCAACUAAUCACUCAAACGAGGCAGAAUAAACCCAUUUAGACCAAACAUGAAUUAUUUGCAAGCCAAACCCAGCACUGAUGUUGGUCUAAGGUAUUUGGAGCGUUAUUUACAUUUGUAAGUGCAGGCAUUUUGAUGCUAAACCUCAGGUUAAGCUCUGGGAAGCCUGACUGGCCCUGCUAGCAGCAUUCUACUGCCAGGAGCCCUGCGGCUGGGGCAGUCUAGCUGGGACCCUCUGCCUGUCUGUGGACAGUGGGUGCUCUGGGUCUGCGUGUUCCCCAAGGUGAGGCUGGCUCUCUUUGCUCUCGGUAAUCCCACCAUCCUGCAGGGACCCAGAGCACUCGGCCCUCAGAAAAUGGGGCUGUCAGUGGGAGGGCGAAUUUAUCUUCUAGCUAGGGAAGCAAGAAGGAUGCUGCUUUUCCUAAGGCUGUUUCAGGUGCCAGAAGAGGCCCACUCAAGAUGCCUCAGGAGGGCUUUCAGCCUGUGGAAUCUGCGGUUUUGAGAACCUGGGGCCUGGAGCAAAAGAAUAGCAGGGCCCCUAGGCUGGGCCUGGGUGAGGAACAGUGCAGUACUGAGCCCACUUGUUUGGACCGAAUGCCUGUUCCCCCCAGAUGCUUAGGCUGAAGCCCCAGCCCCCAAUAUAACUGCAUUAGGAGGUGUGGCCUUUGGGAGGUAACUGGGUUUAGAUGAGGUCAUGAGGGUGGGGCCUUCAGAAUAGAAUUAGUGCCCCUACAAGAAGAGACCAGGGAGCUUGCUCUCAUUCUCUACCAUGUAAGAAGGUGGCUACCUGCAGGCCAGGGAGAGGGCCUCCCAGAACUGGACCCUGCUGGCACCUGAGAUCAGGCCUCCAGCCCCAGGAGUAGGAGAAAUAAAUCUCUGUUGUUGAAGCCACCCAGCCUGUGGCGUUUCGUUAUGUCAGCCCUUGACUAAUCCAUAUUCAUUCUCAUUCUCUCUCCCCUCUCUGUAUGGGGUUUCUGCUCCUCUUUGCUGCUCGGCCUGCUCCCUUCUCCUCCUCUCUCCUCCUCCUCACUCACCUCUGCCUCCACACUCUGUCAAGAGAAUGGCUCAAGAGAGCCGGCCUCAGUACUCCCUGGGGAAAGACCUGCUUCGCCCCCAGCUAGCAGGGGACUUUCUUCUAGGUCUCUCGGAUUAAAUCCUGAGAGGUGAGUCUGCUUAUCUAGGCCGCCCCCUCCGCGGGCGCACCGAUGCCUGGCACUGCCCGCCGGGGCGUGGGCGCGCCCACACCGUCCACCCUGCUCCUGCCCAGAGCGGGUCCUCUGCCGAAGGAAUUUGCGCUGGCAGCUCCCGGAGGGUCUGGCCCGCACGCGGCAGGGCAAUAAAGCCUGCAAACGUGUGGGAGCGGGGGUGAUGGGGGUCCAGAGGACGGGGCUUUGCAGGGACGUGGAGGGACUACAGGCAGCUGCGACCGUCUGCCCUGCCAUCGCUACCUGUGUAUACGCACUCGCACUCCAUGUAACCUUCACAGCCACCAGCAGGCCGCGGCCGGGCCGCCCUGCAGAGGAAGGAGCGGGUCCCAGUGCCCAGGGGCUUCCCGCGGUGGGGGGUUGGGCGGGGCGGGGGCUCCACUCUGGGGGCGUGGCUGACAGAAGGCCCCGCCCCCUCCCCGCCCGCGGGUGAAACCACCCCCGAGGCCCGGACGCACGCGGACCUGCGCUCAGGUUUCCCUGGGCUCUGUUGCCGUUCACUGUCCCGGGGAGCGCCCAGGUGAGCGAUCCUCGCCGCGGAGCUCCCGGACCCAGCAGCCUGGGAGGCUGGGGUCCGCCUUCUUCCCAGGCCCGCUCGCCUCGGGUGCUGGCUGGAGGGCUGUGGCGCGGGAUGGUAGGACUAGCGCUGAGCAGGUGGGAUUAAGCUCUCCAAUGAAACAUGGCCCCACCACACUUUGGUUUGGAGGCAAACACCCAGUAGCGUUACAGACUGAAACACCAUCAGCAGCAACACCUUGGCGUGACGUUAUCAGAUCUUUUCCCCCUAGACUGAGAAUUGUACUAGAGAACAGACUUUUGGCCAGGUUUGAAGAUUCUCUUGCAAUGCGCCAUCGCCCCUGACAGUCUUCAGCAUAGAAAAAUACAUGACAACCGUGGCCAUGGGUACUAGGCUUCGCUGCGCCCACCCUGGAGCCUGCCACCAGGGUUCCCACGACGGCUUCACUUCGUCCUGGCUGCGUGAGCAAGGCCCUUAAUCUUCUGACACCGCAGUUCCUCGUCUGUGAAGUGGGUGUAAUAUCACCUGCCUCUAGAGGCAUGCGAGGGAGCAGCAGUGCCUUGAAAGCAUCAAUGGCUCAGUUAGAAAAACACCGCCAUAAUAACUAGUGUCUACAAGCCAAUCUGCACACGAUGUAGCUCUGUUACACGAUCUCCUUUGAGUCACAAAUAGCUUGGAAGUUGUUAUGACUCCCAUUUUACAGAUGGAGAAACAGGCUCAGAGAGAUUAAGAGCCUGGGCUUUUAAGCGGUGAGAUAGGAGUCAAGCCCCGGCUGUUUGAUUCCAAAUCUGCGGAGUCCUGAAAGACCUCAGGCUUCCGGGGCAGCUGGAUUUAGGGUUGAGGGCUGGUGGCCUCUUCGAGCUGCAGUUUCCUCACAUGUAAAAUGGGGAUGAUGCUAUGGGUCUGCAGAGGUGCAGGCAGCAGAUGUCUGUAAUGGAGGUCAUUACCAUUAUUCCACACCCGCAUCCGUUCAGCAGGCACAAGUGGACUUCGCUGCUUUUGCUUGUUGAUGUCUGGGCUUAGCCUGUCUGUCUACAAAACGAU
rnacentral:lncRNA from 10 species